AAUGAACGCUAGCGGCAGGCUUAAUACAUGCAAGUCGAGGGGCAGCGCAGUGUAGCAAUACAUGGGCGGCGACCGGCAAACGGGUGCGGAACACGUACACAACCUUCCUACAAGUGGGGAAUAGCCCAGAGAAAUUUGGAUUAAUACCACGUAACAUAGCGGUGUGGCAUCACAUUGCUAUUAUAGCUUCGGCGCUUGUUGAUGGGUGUGCGGCUGAUUAGAUAGUUGGCGGGGUAACGGCCCACCAAGUCUACGAUCAGUAGCUGAUGUGAGAGCAGGAUCAGCCACACGGGCACUGAGACACGGGCCCGACUCCUACGGGAGGCAGCAGUAAGGAAUAUUGGACAAUGGACGCAAGUCUGAUGCAGCCAUGCCGCGUGAAGGAUUAAGGUCCUCUGGAUUGUAAACUUCUUUUAUAAGGGACGAAAAAAGGUCUUUCUAGAUCGUCUGACGGUACCUUAUGAAUAAGCACCGGCUAACUCCGUGCCAGCCGCCGCGGUAAUAC
rnacentral:rRNA from 1 species